rnacentral:lncRNA from 1 species
UAACUUGAAAACUAAAAGACAAAUUUUGGUGGCAACAUUUAAUUCUUUUACGCUGAGAAAGUGGCGAGAACCUCUGACCAGUGGGACCAAGGGAACAGUCCUUCUUUUAGACUAUUUUGGAUGCUCUCCUGCUAAUUGUAUAUUGCACUUAUCUGUGUGAGACUCUUAAUAUUUACUUGUGUACUUGUCCAAAGUUCUGUUUUAAGGUGCUGACUUUAUUGUGACUAAUUUUUUUGAAAGAUGGUCCUGCUUGCUGGUUGCCUGUUUUUCUACUGAGGAGAAAUGUCUGUUUGAGCUAUUUUGUAUUCCUUUCAAUUCCAUAUGAAUUUGGAAAAGGCUUGUCAAUUUCUACAAUGAAGUCCACUAGGAAUCUGAUGGAUCCUGCUUUGAAUCUGUAAGUUGGUUUGGGGAUUAUUGGCAUCUUUUAAAACUUAAC